UUAAAUCCUUCCUGUACUA
rnacentral:tRNA from 2 species